GAUUAGCUCAGCAGGUUAGAGCGUCGCAUUCGUAACGCGAAGGUCGUGGGUUCGAUUCCCACA
rnacentral:tRNA from 1 species